UCGCACGAGAACGUUCUGGCUUUGCCAGGACAAGUACAGUGGCGGACGGGUGCGUAUCGCGUAGAUAACCUGCCCUUAGGCGCGGGACAAUCACGGGAAACCGUGGCUAAUACCGCACGUCGUCUGGGCCCCGCAUGGGGACCAGAUGAAAGCUUGGGGUUACCCAGGCGCCUUGGGAUGGGUCUGCGUUGGAUUAGCUUGUUGGUGAGGCAACGGCUCACCAAGGCAACGAUCCAUAGCUGGUCUGAGAGGACGAUCAGCCACACUGGGACUGAGACACGGCCCAGACUCCUACGGGAGGCAGCAGUGGGGAAUCUUGCACAAUGGGGUCACCCCUGAUGCAGCCAUGCCGCGUGGAGGAAGACACCCCUAUGGGGCGUAAACUCCUUUUCUGAAUGAAGAAACCCCUGUAGGUUCAGGGCGCGACGGUAGUUCAGGAAUAAGCACCGGCUAACUCCGUGCCAGCAGCCGCGGUAAUACGGAGGGUGCAAGCGUUGUCCGGAAUCACUGGGUGUAAAGGGUGUGCAGGCGGGGCAACAAGUCGGAUGUGAAACCCCAUGGCUCAACCAUGGAGGUGCAUUCGAAACUGUUGCUCUUGAGUCCCGGAGAGGCUGUCGGAAUUCGUGGCGUAGCGGUGAAAUGCGUAGAUAUCACGAGGAACACCGGAGGCGAAAGCGGGCAGCUGGACGGGUACUGACGCUCAGGCACGAAAGCGUGGGGAGCAAACAGGAUUAGAUACCC
rnacentral:rRNA from 1 species